GGGGAUUUAGCUCAGUGGUAGAGCGCUUGCCUAGCAAGCACAAGGCCCUGGGUUCGAUCCACAGCUCCG
rfam:Rattus norvegicus chromosome 5, whole genome shotgun sequence.